GACGAACGCUGGCGGCGUGCCUAAUACAUGCAAGUAGAACGCUGAAGGAGGAGCUUGCUUCUCUGGAUGAGUUGCGAACGGGUGAGUAACGCGUAGGUAACCUGCCUGGUAGCGGGGGAUAACUAUUGGAAACGAUAGCUAAUACCGCAUAACAGUAGAUGUUGCAUGACAUUUGCUUAAAAGGUGCAAUUGCAUCACUACCAGAUGGACCUGCGUUGUAUUAGCUAGUUGGUGGGGUAACGGCUCACCAAGGCGACGAUACAUAGCCGACCUGAGAGGGUGAUCGGCCACACUGGGACUGAGACACGGCCCAGACUCCUACGGGAGGCAGCAGUAGGGAAUCUUCGGCAAUGGACGGAAGUCUGACCGAGCAACGCCGCGUGAGUGAAGAAGGUUUUCGGAUCGUAAAGCUCUGUUGUAAGAGAAGAACGAGUGUGAGAGUGGAAAGUUCACACUGUGACGGUAUCUUACCAGAAAGGGACGGCUAACUACGUGCCAGCAGCCGCGGUAAUACGUAGGUCCCGAGCGUUGUCCGGAUUUAUUGGGCGUAAAGCGAGCGCAGGCGGUUAGAUAAGUCUGAAGUUAAAGGCUGUGGCUUAACCAUAGUACGCUUUGGAAACUGUUUAACUUGAGUGCAAGAGGGGUGAGUGGAAUUCCAUGUGUAGCGGUGAAAUGCGUAGAUAUAUGGAGGAACACCGGUGGCGAAAGCGGCUCUCUGGCUUGUAACUGACGCUGAGGCUCGAAAGCGUGGGGGAGCAAACAGG
rnacentral:rRNA from 1 species